AGUGAACGCUGGCGGUAGGCCUAACACAUGCAAGUCGAACGGCAGCACAGUAAGAGCUUGCUCUUACGGGUGGCGAGUGGCGGACGGGUGAGGAAUACAUCGGAAUCUACUUUUUCGUGGGGGAUAACGUAGGUAAACUUACGCUAAUACCGCAUACGACCUACGGGUGAAAGCAGGGGAUCUUCGGACCUUGCGCGAUUGAAUGAGCCGAUGUCGGAUUAGCUAGUUGGCGGGGUAAAGGCCCACCAAGGCGACGAUCCGUAGCUGGUCUGAGAGGAUGAUCGGCCACACUGGAACUGGGACACGGACCAGGCGCCUGCGGGAGGGCGCAGUGGGGAAUAUUGGACAAUGGGCGCAAGCCUGAUCCAGCCAUACCGCGUGGGUGAAGAAGGCGUUCGGGUUGUAAAGCCCUUUUGUUGGGAAAGAAAAGCAGCAGGUUAAUACCCCGCUGUUCUGACGGUACCCAGAGAAUAAGCACCGGCUAACUUCGUG
rnacentral:rRNA from 1 species